CGGGGAACGUCUCCAGGACGGAGCGGCAGAGCCCCUCCCGGAGGGGAAGCUGGACUUCGCUCGGAAGGGAACCAUCAGGCCACCCCGGCAGAUCAGGGGAGACCGGCAAGGCUGGGGGGGAUAUUAGGACCUGAAGCCAAAAUGCUCGGGUGAGCCCAGCCUCGAUCGGAUGGGCUUUGCCGGAGACCCAGCCCUGGUGGGAAUACAGAAGUGAUUAGGCCUAAAAGCUCGGGCCAUUUGGCUUUUAUUCGAUUGGCAGAGAGGCCCUCUGUGCCCUCUGCUUUUUGCCGUUUGAUUAUAUGUCUGUGCUCAAAAUACGGUUCCUGGAACGUAGGCAGCAGGCAGGACUCAUUGGAAUGGAAAUCAAUUUGAUUAGCGAGCAGUCGAUUACCGUGAGGACUGAGGCUGUGAUCCAGGCGGAAGCCGGCUCCACAAACAUGGAACUUUCUGAACGCGCCUGUGUGGAGGGGCUCACUCCGGAGGGGCCGAGGCUGAGGUAUAGAGCACCGACUGGAUGCGCCAGACGAAGUGGCUGGUGCGCAGCAGGGGCUCAGUAACUGUGGCUGCCACGGCCGGACCCACGUGCCAGGGCCACCCUGGCCGCUCUUCCUCACGCGCCACAGGAAGCAGUGAUGGUCUCCAUCCGACGGGCGGAUCCGCCGCCACCGAGGACGCUUGCUCACACGUCUGUGCCCCCGGCGGGGCCGCGGUUCUCAAGACGCAGAACGCGGACCUUCCACGGGACCCAGCCGUGCCACCCCCCCGGCACGCACCCCAAACAACUGAAGACCGAUGUUAGGACCAAAACCCGUCCUCGCACGCGCUACUCACCGCGGCCAGAGGGAGGGACCAUCAGACGAGUGAACGGGGGUCCCCCGGACGGUGGGAUGUUCCUCCACCAGGAUAAAGGGAGGAAAUGCCGAUUCCCGCGGCGACGCGGAAGAACCUUGAAAACGCGGCCCUGCGUGAGGGAGGCCAGGCACACAAGGACACGCAGCGUGGGAUGCCACGUGAAACGUCCAGGACAGGCAGCUCCACAGACAGAAAGCAGGUCGUUGGCGCCAGGGGCCGGCUGCUGACUAUGGGCACACGGUGUCCUUUUGGGGGGAACGUUCUGAAACUGGAGGGUGGUGAAGGCUGCAGCAUCAGAAAUGUGCUUAAUGCCAUCGAACUGUGUAGUUGAUAACGCUUAACUGUAAAUCUUGUCUCUGCCGUAUUUGGCCACGAUUUUUAAAAUGUAUUAUUUUUUUAAUUUU